rnacentral:hammerhead_ribozyme from 1 species
GCACUGCUGAGGAGUCCCACAAUAGGAUGAUACGACCUUCCAGUGC